UAAUAAAAUUUCUUUGGCCAGGGGCAAGACUAUUACCGGGUACAGCCAAGGUAAUAGGAUUGUCACUGAGGAGAGCCUCCAAAAGCACUUCCUCACCUACAGCCUGCCACCUUAAACCAGCAUCUCAGGGUACUGCACAUACGAAAAAAAUAGAAGCGAAUACUGCUUAUAUAUUUGCUUGGAGAGAUGCCCAGAAGCUUGUGAAAGAAGUCUUGGAUUCCAAGUCGAUCAGUGCCCCAGGAUCUCAGAAGGACAACACCAUGGAUCACAAGACAAAAUACACACAGAUGGCUCACCAGCAGGCAGCAGCUUCAAACAUCCUGACUUGGCCAAAACAUCAAUCAAAC